rnacentral:rRNA from 1 species
UCGAGCGCGCCCUUCGGGGUGAGCGGCGGACGGGUUAGUAACGCGUGGGAAUAUGCCCGACACUAAGGAAUAGCCUCUGGAAACGGAGAGUAAUACCUUAUACGCCCUUCGGGGGAAAGAUUUAUCGGUGACGGAUUAGCCCGCGUUAGAUUAGAUAGUUGGUGGGGUAAUGGCCUACCAAGUCUACGAUCUAUAGCUGGUUUUAGAGGAUGAUCAGCAACACUGGGACUGAGACACGGCCCUGACUCCUACGGGAGGCAGCAGUGGGGAAUCUUGGACAAUGGGCGCAAGCCUGAUCCAGCCAUGCCGCGUGAGUGAUGAAGGCCUUAGGGUCGUAAAGCUCUUUCGCCAGAGAUGAUAAUGACAGUAUCUGGUAAGGAAACCCCGGCUAACUCCGUUCCAGCAGCCGCGGUAAUACGGAGGGGGUUAGCGUUGUUCGGAAUUACUGGGCGUAAAGCGCGCGUAGGCGGAUUAGUCAGUUAGAGGUGAAAUCCCGGGGCUCAACCCCGGAACUGCCUUUAAUACUGCUAGUCUUGAGUUCGAGAGAGGUGAGUGGAAUUCCGAGUGUAGAGGUGAAAUUCGUAGAUAUUCGGAGGAACACCAGUGGCGAAGGCGGCUCACUGGCUCGAUACUGACGCUGAGGUGCGAAAGUGUGGGGAGCAAACAGGAU